CCUACGGGAGGCUGCAGUCGGGAAUAUUGCGCAAUGGAGGAAACUCUGACGCAGUGACGCCGCGUAUAGGAAGAAGGGUUUCGGAUUGUAAACUAUUGUCGGUAGGGAAGAUAAAAUACUGUACCUAAGGAGGAAGCCCCGGCUAACUACGUGCCAGCAGCCGCGGUAAUACGUAGGGAGCGAGCGUCGUCCGGACUUACGUGGCGUAAAGGGCGCGUAGGCGGGAACUUAAGUUAGAUGUGAAAACUCCGGGCUUAACCUGGAGAUGGCAUUUAAAACUGGGUUUCUUGAGGGCAGGAGAGGAAAGUGGAAUUCCUAGUGUAGCGGUGAAAUGCGUAGAUAUUAGGAGGAACACCAGUGGCGAAGGCGGCUUUCUGGACUGUACCUGACGCUGAGGCGCGAAAGCAUGGGGAGCGAACAGGAUUAGAUACCCGUGUAGUC
rnacentral:rRNA from 1 species